rnacentral:piRNA from 1 species
UCCCACACGGUGGAGUUAUUGCCACAGGGA